rnacentral:rRNA from 1 species
CCUUUCUUGCGUGUGCCUAUACAUGCAGUCGAACGCGUUGGCCCAAUUGAUUGAUGGUGCUUGCACCUGAUUGAUUUUGGUCGCCAACGAGUGGCGGACGGGUGAGUAACACGUAGGUAACCUGCCCAGAAGCGGGGGACAACAUUUGGAAACAGAUGCUAAUACCGCAUAACAACGUUGUUCGCAUGAACAACGCUUAAAAGAUGGCUUCUCGCUAUCACUUCUGGAUGGACCUGCGGUGCAUUAGCUUGUUGGUGGGGUAACGGCCUACCAAGGCGAUGAUGCAUAGCCGAGUUGAGAGACUGAUCGGCCACAAUGGGACUGAGACACGGCCCAUACUCCUACGGGAGGCAGCAGUAGGGAAUCUUCCACAAUGGGCGCAAGCCUGAUGGAGCAACACCGCGUGAGUGAAGAAGGGUUUCGGCUCGUAAAGCUCUGUUGUUAAAGAAGAACACGUAUGAGAGUAACUGUUCAUACGUUGACGGUAUUUAACCAGAAAGUCACGGCUAACUACGUGCCAGCAGCCGCGGUAAUACGUAGGUGGCAAGCGUUAUCCGGAUUUAUUGGGCGUAAAGAGAGUGCAGGCGGUUUUCUAAGUCUGAUGUGAAAGCCUUCGGCUUAACCGGAGAAGUGCAUCGGAAACUGGAUAACUUGAGUGCAGAAGAGGGUAGUGGAACUCCAUGUGUAGCGGUGGAAUGCGUAGAUAUAUGGAAGAACACCAGUGGCGAAGGCGGCUACCUGGUCUGCAACUGACGCUGAGACUCGAAAGCAUGGGUAGCGAACAGGAUUAGAUACCCUGGUAGUCCAUGCCGUAAACGAUGAGUGCUAGGUGUUGGAGGGUUUCCGCCCUUCAGUGCCGGAGCUAACGCAUUAAGCACUCCGCCUGGGGAGUACGACCGCAAGGUUGAAACUCAAAGGAAUUGACGGGGGCCCGCACAAGCGGUGGAGCAUGUGGUUUAAUUCCGAAGCUACGCGAAGAACCUUUACCAGGUCUUGACAUCUUGCGCCAACCCUAGAGAUAGGGCGUUCCCUUCGGGAACGCAAUGACAGGUGGGUGCAUGGUUCGUCGGUCAGCUCGUGUCGUGAGAUGUUGGGGUCAAGUCCCCGCAACGAGCGCAACCCCUUGUUACUAGUUGCCAGCAUUUAGGUGGGGCCACUCCUAAG